rnacentral:lncRNA from 1 species
ACAAGCCCUAGCAGUGAACCCAUCUCUUCUCCUCCAACAAAGUGCCAAACUUGUUCUUUGGGAAGAGGAACAUGAGUGACCCACAAGACCCACUAAUGGCAAGCAUUGAAGAAUCCAUUUUGGAGACAAUGGAAGAGGGCCCACAGGGAGGUAAAAUUUUUAUGUUUCACGUGAUUCUUUUUUGCCUCGACAAGAUUGUAUUUUGGGUUUCACGUGAAUUUUUUCCCUCAUUUAAUCCAUGCUUUUCAGAUUAGUGUCGUUUUUCACAACCUCAGACAUUUCAUAUUACUCAAUUGAUGUUUAUUUAAUCCCCACCAUCAGCCUGUGGCAAUUUUAAACAAUCUGUAAAUUUUCUAAAAACAUAUUCUUUUUAAUAUGACUAUACCAAUGCCAAUUUAUAGAUUUACAACUUAUUGCCCCCAAGAAAGCAAGUAUAACUCAUUCUGAAAAGUAAAAUAUUGACAACCCAAUUAAACUAGAUGUGAAGUAAAAUUAAAAGGCGGUAACUUUGGAGUAUUCUAAUGUUUCUCGUGAUAUGUGGCAAAUCUGAUACACUAAUGAGCUAGUGACCCAUUUUUUCCUUAACACUUAACAAUAUGACAGUCACACUUAUAAAUAUUCAUAUUUAUAGCAGUCUACAGCUUUAUAAAAUUUUAUAUUACUUGAAGUUUAUCAAUAUGCUCAGUAUCUAUAUUGUAGUCAUUGUAGAGUUAAAUACUCAUGAUGCUUUGAUACUUAACUUUGCAGAUAAUACAUUUGAAGAUGACGUAGUACCCAUUGAAUGUCAUUUGAGUGAUUCAGAAGAUGAUGUCAACGAUGAUGGUUUUCAAGUUGACAAUAAUGCAAGUGAACAUAUUUUGGUUGGAUUGAAUGCAAACCCUAUCCUCGAUCUUCAGGAUAUUGGGGAAAAAGAAUUGGGAUCAGAUGAUGGCUAAUGUCCAAGUGAAGAGGAUUUGCACACCGAUUAUUCUUCCAAUGAAGAAAACACUUAUCAUUUCCCGGUAUAUAAUCCAGAGAAUGAGAUGUUAGAUCCUAAGCUAGAGGUAGGAAAACAAUUUUAAAAUAUAGAGGAGUUUAGGCAAGCAGUUAGGAAUCACGGUGUAGCAACUAGGUGCAACUUUAAGUUUAGGCCUAAUGAUGAGUUUAGAGUCCAGGCCAUUUGUAAAUUAGGUUGUACAUAGAGGAUAUGGGCAUCAUGGAAUAAGAAAAAGGGGCAGAUAAAGUCUAAAAAUUCAAAACAUACAUGCAUGAGGGAUAGAACAAAUAGACAUUGCACUGCCAAAUACAUAGCAAAGAGGUAUUUAGAAACCUUCAAAGUAGACCCUGAUUGGAAAUCUAAGCUAAUUAUGAAGGCUGUAAAGGACGAUCUCAAGUUGACAAUCAAUAGAGUUACGGCAUGGAGGAGUAGAAGAUAUGCUAGGGUAAUGAUACAGGGAUCUGAUGAGCAUCAAUUUGGAUUGCUUAGGUCUUUUGCCGCUGAAAUUUUGAGAACUAAUCCGGUGUCUACAUGCAUUAUUGCCAUGCAUGCUUCAAAGUUUCAAGGAAUAUAUAUAUAUGUUUAGAAACUUGCAAGAGAGGGUUUUUGGCCGGUUGUAGGCAACUUUUAAGGUUGGAUGGGUGUUUCUUGAAGGGGACAUUUGGAGGGUAGAUGCUUGUAGCAGUAGCAUUAGAUGUCAAUGAUUGUAUUUACCCAGUAGCAUAUGCCAUAGUGGAGAAAGAAAAUGCCACUACAUGGAGAUGGUUUAUACAACAUUUGGGUAAAGAUUUGAAAAUUUCGAAUAGCAAUGAAUGGACUUUUAUGACGGAUAGACAAAAAGGUUUACAAAAUGUGAUAGAAGAUUUAUAUCCCGAGGCAGAUUAUAGGUAUUGUGUUAGACACAUGUACACCAAUUUCUUCAAAGCCGGUUUCAAGGGGUUGAUUCUCAAGGAAUACUUAUGGAAAGCUACGAAGUCAACAACAGUGCCCGAUUGGAUGUUUUGGAUGGGUGAGAUUGAAAAAGAAAGUCUUGCAGCACAUGAUUGGUUAAAGAAAAGGCACUCUAGUGAAUGGAGCAAGGCUUAUUUUCUUACAAAGGUGAAAAGUGACAUACUUUUGAAUAAUCUAUGCGAAGUGUCAACGACGUAGUGUUGGAAGAAAGAGAGAAAUCCAUACUGACAUUGUUGAUUGAUUUGCAUAUAAGUUUCAUGAAGAGGAUACAAGCAAGGAGAGAUAAGAUGAAGAAAGUCAUAGGGCCUUUAUGUCCUAAAGUGCAACAAAAAUUGAAGACGUCCGUUGAGUUAGUAGAGAUAUGUGAGGUUGAUUGGUAUGGAGGGACACAAUCUUAUGUGAAAUGUAAAACUGGAGAAUAUGUUGUUGAUCUACUGAACAAGACGUGUGCAUGUAGGAGAUGGGAUUUAUCGGGAAUUCCUUGUACUCAUGCAAUUGCUUCUAUUUUUGAUAGAAGAGAUGAGCCUUGGAAGCAUGUACAUGAGUGUUACAAAGUGAGCACAUAUAUGAGUUGUUAUCAGAAUAUAAUCAAUCCUAUCAACGGAACAAAAUUAUGGCCUCGAGUAGAUGCCCCCCUAGUGAAACCACCAGAAUGGUGUUUACCUAAAAGCGGAAGAAAACAGAAGAAGAGACGAAGACAGGAAGAAGAAGAUGUUUUAACUCGUUCUGGGUCCAAAGCAAAGUUGAAUAAAAAGGGUACCAUGAUUAUUACAUGUAGUUUAUGUGGAUUAAUAGGCCAUAACAAGAGGUAUCAUCAAAAAACUAAUGCACCCCAGGUUAGUUUUUAGUAAAAUCUACAUUGUGUUUUUUAUUAUUUUCCAGACUAUAUGAACUAUUGAUCUUCAUGUAAAUGUUUUUUAGGAUUGGUAUUAUGGGGUAGCAAAUCCUGUAAAUAAAGGAAGCACCAGCCAUGUUCGGAGUAAAAGCUCAAGGGUAAUGAAGUUCAUCCUAAUAUCGUCCAUUAAUAAACAUGUGAAAUAAUUUUCUUAAUCAUACAUGACAACUUAUACAGGCAAAACUCGUGCCUAGGAGACCAUCAAGUAUGCCCAUACCUGGAGUGCAACCACCAGUACCAGCAUCUAAUUUCCAAUUCAUGCCAACCCCUGGAAUUUGUAUAACUAAUGGAGCACACAUUACAGACUAUGGUGGAAGACUUGGUGGGAGACCUGAAGUGCAACCACCAGUACCAGCUCCACUUGAAUCCUUGGUGGAAGACUUGCAAUUGAUAGAAAACCAAGAGAAAGAAAGAAAGAGGGCAGCCCUUGCAAAAAAGAAAAAGACUGUUCGAGGCUCAAUUCCAUUUACAAUUCCAAGGAAAAAUUCAGCAACUCAGUAGCGUUAUCAUUUUGUUUCGUGGUCAUAUUUUGGGUUUUGAGGCAACAAAUGAAGAGACACUGAUGUAUUUUGUUUCUUUUUGGUACACCAGUUGAAUGCUAUGAUUGGAAAUUUGGAAAUCAAUUUGGUGUAAUGUUGAACUUAACCAGAUGCAGUUAGAAUGUUGAAUUCCAAUAAUACUUGUUAUUGCUAUGUUGUUAAUGUUGAAUUCCAGUAUGUUCUAUACAAAAUUUGGU